rnacentral:rRNA from 1 species
AAGGAUCAUUAACGAAUAUAAUUCGAGGGGUUGUCGCUGGCCUCGCUCGCGCGAGGCAUGUGCACGCUUCUCGUUUUUCUCUCAACUCACCUGUGCACCUAAUGUAGGAUGCCUCUCCUCCGGGAGGGGGGACCUAUGUCUUCGUAACAUCUUCGUGUAGAAAGUCUUUGAAUGUUUACUAUCAUCGAGUCGCGACUUCUAGGAGACGCGAUUCUUUGAGAUAAAAGUUAUUACAACUUUCAGCAACGGAUCUCUUGGCUCUCGCAUCGAUGAAGAACGCAGCGAAAAGCGAUAUGUAAUGUGAAUUGCAGAUCUACAGUGAAUCAUCGAAUCUUUGAACGCACCUUGCGCUCCUCGGUGUUCCGAGGAGCAUGCCUGUUUGAGUGUCAGUAAAUUCUCAACCCCUCUCGAUUAGCUUCGAGAGGGAGCUUGGAUAGUGGAGGUUGCCGGAGACUUGGAUUCGUCCGAGACUCGGGCUCUUCUGAAAUGCAUCGGCUUGCGGUCGACUUUCGACUAUGUGCGACAAGGCUUUCGGCGUGAUAAUGAUCGCCGUUCGCUGAAGCGCAUGACUGAACGUCCCGUGCCUCUAAUACGUCGACCGCUUAUUAUCUCUCCGGAGAGAACAGGGUCUUCCUUAUUGACUUUCGACCUCAAAUCAGGUAGGACUACCCGCUGAACUUAA